rnacentral:rRNA from 1 species
CAAUAGCGUAUAUUAAAGUUGUUGCAGUUAAAAAGCUCGUAGUUGGAUUUCUGGUCGGAAGCUCCUGUCCUCUGAUGAGCGUACAAGUGCGUCCUACCAUCCUUCUGUUAACCUUUAAGGCUUUCGCGGCUUUCUAGGGGCUCAGAUAUUUUACCUUGAGAAAAUUAGAGUGUUUCAGGCAGGCUAGCGCCGGAAUACAUUAGCAUGGAAUAAUGGAAUAGGACUUUUGCCUCUUCUGUUGGUCAUGAGGCUCGAGUAAUGAUUAAUAGGGAUAGUUGGGGGCAUUAGUACUUAACUGUCAGAGGUGAAAUUCUCGGAUUUGUUAAAGACUAACUUAUGCGAAAGCAUUUGCCAAGGAUGUUCUCAUUAA